GCUAUCAAGCGGAGAAAUCGUCUCUCAUGUUCUGGCCGGACUCGACCUCGACUACAACCCGGUCGUGUCGGCCCUUGCUGCACGGGUAGAGCCCGUGACUGCUCAAGAGCUCUACACACAGCUGCUGAGCUUUGAUG
rfam:Hordeum vulgare subsp. vulgare, WGS project CAJW01000000 data, contig: morex_contig_90958